GACGAACGCUGGCGGCGUGCUUAACACAUGCAAGUCGAACGGAAAGGCCCUGCUUUUGUGGGGUGCUCGAGUGGCGAACGGGUGAGUAACACGUGAGUAACCUGCCCUUGACUUUGGGAUAACUUCAGGAAACUGGGGCUAAUCCCGGAUAGGAGCUCCUGCUGCAUGGUGGGGGUUGGAAAGUUUCGGCGGGUGGGGAUGGACUCGCGGCUUAUCAGCUUGUUGGUGGGGUAGUGGCUUACCCAGGCUUUGACGGGUAGCCGGCCUGAGAGGGUGACCGGCCACAUUGGGACUGAGAGACGGCCCAGACUCCUACGGGAGGCAGCAGUGGGGAAUAUUGCACAAUGGGCGGAAGCCUGAUGCAGCAACGCCGCGUGCGGGAUGACGGCCUUCGGGUUGUAAACCGCUUUCGCCUGUGACGAAGCGUGAGUGACGGUAAUGGGUAAAGAAGCACCGGCUAACUACGUG
rnacentral:rRNA from 1 species